rnacentral:lncRNA from 13 species
UCGCCGCCCCAGCUCGUGGCGCGGGGAGGCAGCGCCUGGCCCGAGCCUCUGGGUCCUGACGGACUGUUGCUGUCCCUUGUACGAACGACCCGGACAGCCGCGCGGGCCGCGGGGUCACCCUCCGCCUGAGACCGCGGAUCAGGGUGCACUCGCCUCCCGAAGCCCCCAGCCCGCCAGGGGGCGCUAAGCCGGGCAUCGAGGGGGCUAUCGCGGCUGCCUCCCGCGUCUCGGGCUGGGGGCACGUCCCCUCCUCUUCCUGGGCCCCCGCAUCCUCGUCUGGGGAUGGGAUGAGGUGUCCAGGGAGUGCCCCCUGGAUCCUGGUUGUUCUAUAGGACACUUGCGGUGGGCCGCCCUGACCUGCCCUACCCCUUGCUUGGGGCCUUGAGCGUAGCGGGCCCCACCAGGCGCAGAGCCUUUGGAGAGCGAUCGGUCCCCUCCUCGAAGCUGGCCCGAGCUACCCUGCCUGCAGCGGGCCCGGAGAGGCGGCCGCCUGGGCUGUGCACAGGCGGGCACCGCGAGUGCCGCACCUCAGUCCCGAUCCACCAACAGGUGGUCAUAGGCCUGGGCUGUGGAGGGCUCUGGAAAGCCUGCCGCUGUGACCAGGCCAAGCCGGCCGGGACUUGAGGGACCUCCCCUAUCCCGACGCUCUGCGGGCACCGUGAGCCAAGGUCGAUUGUCCGCGCGGCGCGCAAGGUCCGCACGGGCAGGUUCCGAAGCCUCCAGUCGCGCAGCUCACGGAGCGGACCCUGCCAACCAGAGACACCGAGCGACGGCUUCAAGGUUACCUGCGGGGCGGGGCGACGCCGGGCUGGCCACCCGACUUUGACCCAAGCCUCGAGGCUUUCGAGAGACGCCUGCUCGGCUGCGGGCGCGGCGCGAGGUCACCCGGGUUGUUUUGGAAGUGGGAAGAAUGGGUGGGGGGCACUCGGGAUCCCUCCCGCUAACCCCCUGGAGCCGGACCCUGAGCGCCCAGGGCCAAGAGGGACACCGAGGCACUUCAGCCCCAGGGGCGGGAGGCGUGGAGUUCGUGCGCUAGCUCAGCCAGAUGUUCCGGGCGGUUCCAGAUGUGCCGCGGGGCCGGCGACAGGACUCUCCUCCUCCCCAGCCCCAGCCUGGAGCUCAGUGCUGGCCUCCACUCAGCUGACAGCCUGUAUCCGUUCCUUCUUUGCCUGGUGAUUGUCUGUCUUCCCCACCACGGCAGCUCCAUGCAGGGUCUACUAAAGAGGAGAAGGCAUGGCUCUUGCCCAAGACAAGCUGACAGUCUGAGACUGGUGUGAGGAAGCCACUUGAUCAAGUCUAAGUCUUCAUUUUAUAGUUCAAGAAACCAAGUCUCAGAGGGGGGCAGGGACUUGUCCAAGGUCACACAGCCAAUCCACAGCCCAGACAGUGCUGGAUGCAGUCUCUGGAUUCCUGGCUGGGAGUAUUUCUACAAUGUCCUGCACUUAAACAGUUCCGUUUGGCGGAAGCUCUGCUGUUCUGGAAGAGACACCAGGCCUUUCCAGAAUCCUGUCCAAGGCUGUCUUCCAGCAUCUGCUGUCAAGGCGCACUCCUUAGGGAGCAGCUGUUGGCAAAGUGAGGGGAGAUAUUGAUUAUGUCUAGGGUUGUGGGGAGGGUGGUUUGGGGAAGUAGGGGGGAUGGGGAAGAGCAGUGGAAGUUUCUCUGAAAAACUAAAAGCGUAUUUAUUUAUUUAGACUUUUGCUUAUCUGUAUAAUUCUUCUACGGUUAUAUAAUUAGUAUUUUAUAUUUGAAAGGGAUGAACUGUUUAAUUAGACAGGGCCUGGGAAUCCAGGAUUGUCUCAGCUCUGACAGGCUGUGUGGAUGUCAUGAGAUCCCCCCUUCCCUUUCUCUGGGCCUUUCUUAGCAAUGCUGGUAAUAACGUUGCCCUGUGAGAGGUAAAUGAAUCACAGGCUCCCUGGCUGAGGAAAUAGCUGUCCAGCCUAUUCAUAAUGUUACCCUGUCUGAAAGCAGCAACCAAGGCAUGAGGUCCAGAGAAAAACCAAAGUUCAGAGAAGCCCACUGUGGCCAUGUGUACGUCCAGGGCUGUCUGGAAGGUCAGGGAGAUUGUCUGAGACCCAUGCCUGUCCCAGUCCCCACAGAGAGCCCCCUGCAUGGGUGGAGAUCAUUCUUCACCUUGGCUUCACCAAGGUCUGCAGGAAGUACCUCCCAACAAGAAUUCCUCUCUCCUUUGCUCAGCUCCCAGGCCCAUCAGACAAUAGCAUCCUAGAGCCCUGGCUCCCAGGAGGGAAGGAGAUGGAGGAGAGGAUAAAAGCAUUCCUGUCAGUAGAAAGGAGAGUGCUCUGUGUCAGUGCUAAGUGUUGUGAGGAGGCAUCAUCUUGACUGACAGCUUAGGGUCAGCCUGUCAGACCUCUCUGGGUGUCUGGAGAAAGGUCAGUGUCAGGACCUGCCAGGUGAGGGCCAGACUCCAGGCUGAGACCUGCCACCCAGUGAAGGGGCUAAAUUUCGUCAAUAUAUGUGCAGUGCUUAGCACAGCGCCUGGCAUAAAAUUAGUGGACAAUAAAAACCACUCAGUGAAAGUUCGCUGUGCCCUA